rnacentral:rRNA from 1 species
UACGUAGGGGGCAAGCGUUAUCCGGAUUUACUGGGCGUAAAGGGAGCGUAGGCGGACUUUUAAGUGAGAUGUGAAAUACCCGGGCUCAACUUGGGUGCUGCAUUUCAAACUGGAAGUCUAGAGUGCAGGAGAGGAGAAUGGAAUUCCUAGUGUAGCGGUGAAAUGCGUAGAGAUUAGGAAGAACACCAGUGGCGAAGGCGAUUCUCUGGACUGUAACUGACGCUGAGGCUCGAAAGCGUGGGGAGCAAACAGGAUUAGAUACCCGGGUAGU